rnacentral:rRNA from 1 species
GAGUUUGAUCAUGGCUCAGAUUGAACGCUGGCGGCAUGCUUUACACAUGCAAGUCGAACGGUAACAGGGAGCUUGCUCCGCUGACGAGUGGCGAACGGGUGAGUAAUGCGUCGGAACGUGCCGAGUAGUGGGGGAUAACGCAUCGAAAGGUGUGCUAAUACCGCAUACGAACUGAGGUUGAAAGUGGGGGACCUUCGGGCCUCACGCUAUUCGAGCGGCCGACGUCUGAUUAGCUAGUAGGUGAGGUAAAGGCUCACCUAGGCGACGAUCAGUAGCGGGUCUGAGAGGAUGAUCCGCCACACUGGGACUGAGACACGGCCCAGACUCCUACGGGAGGCAGCAGUGGGGAAUUUUGGACAAUGGGCGCAAGCCUG